GAAAAUGUUCAGAUUGUUGAAUUCUUCCAGUCCAGCAGAGGGCAGCAGCAUCCCACUGAUGAAGAGGAAGGCGAGUUGGAGGCUGCAUGGACAACAAGGUUAGACUGGUUUUGACGUCACACGGAUGUGUUUUAGACUUUGACUCUGAAGUUAUGAGGGUGUGACGGCGUCCUCAGGUCAGACCAGCACACAGACACCAGGACGGACGAGUGUUUCCUCCACACGUGAAGGUGGAAAGUGUCUCUACGUUGACCUGAAGUGAGUUCAGCAGAACCGACAGCAGUCUGAUUGUGGUCUGAGCUCCGUCAUCAGUGAGGAAUGCAGCGAGUGUCUGAACUGGUCUGACAGCUUGGAUCAACUUGGCUGAGCUUUAUCUUUUAACUCUUAAUGCUCUGAAGUUACGCCGUGGAUGAAGUGUUCAGAGCUCAGAUACAGAAACCUUCCAACACUGAGACUGACCUGGUUUCACUGAAGACCCAGUCCAGGUCUCAACUGUCCUUCAGCAUAGUGGUCACUACAGUGGACCGCUAUUCAAGAGCCGUUUUCUUGGAUAUGCAUGGGUUUUGAUGGUUUAGUUGCACAUCAGCCACCACAGUGGACGCUAGUGUGUCAUCCCAAACACCGCUGCCCU